ACUUUUGAAGGAUAAUAGUUAUCCAUUGAUCUUAGGCUUCAAACAAUCCUGGUGCAAAUCCGAGCAAAAGUU
rnacentral:tRNA from 1 species